rnacentral:rRNA from 1 species
GAUGGUAGUGUAUUGGACUACCAUGGCUCUUACGGGUAACGGAGGAUUAGGGUUCGAUUCCGGAGAGGGAGCCUGAGAAACGGCUACCACAUCUAAGGAAGGCAGCAGGCGCGUAAAUUACCCAAUCCUGACUCAGGGAGGUAGUGACAAGAAAUAACGGACCGGGGCCUACGCUUCGGGAUUGCAAUGAGUAGAAUUUAAACCCCUUUGCGAGGAUCAAUUGGAGGGCAAGUCUGGUGCCAGCAGCCGCGGUAAUA